rnacentral:rRNA from 1 species
UACAGAGGGUGCGAGCGUUGUUCGGAAUUAUUGGGCGAAAGGGCGCGUAGGCGGUGCGGUAAGUCACCUGUGAAAUCUCCUGGCUCAACUGGGAGCUUGCAGGCGAAACUGCCGUGCUGGAGUGUGGGAGAGGUGCGUGGAAUUCCUGGUGUAGCGGUGAAAUGCGUAGAUAUCAGGAGGAACACCUGUGGCGAAAGCGGCGCACUGGACCAACAACUGACGCUGAGGCGCGAAAGCUAGGGGAGCAAACAGG